rnacentral:rRNA from 1 species
UACGAAGGGGGCUAGCGUUGUUCGGAAUUACUGGGCGUAAAGCGCGCGUAGGCGGUGAUCUUUGUCAGAGGUGAAAUCCCGAGGCUCAACUUCGGAAUUGCCUUUGAAACGGGAUCGCUUGAGUCCGAGAGAGGAUGGCGGAAUUCCUAGUGUAGAGGUGAAAUUCGUAGAUAUUAGGAAGAACACCGGUGGCGAAGGCGGCCAUCUGGCUCGGUACUGACGCUCAGGCGCGAAAGCGUGGGGAGCAAAUAGG